GAGAGUCGAACGGCCACAUUGGGACUGAGACACGGCCCAGACUCCUACGGGAGGCAGCAG
rnacentral:rRNA from 1 species